rnacentral:rRNA from 1 species
UGGGAGGUAAAUUUCUCCUAAGGCUAAAUAACGGCGAGAGACCGAUAGCGAACAAGUACCGUGAGGGAAAGAUGAAAAGAACUUUGAAAAGAGAGUUAAACAGUACGUGAAAUUGUUGAAAGGGAAACGAUUGAAGCCAGUCGUACCUAUGGGUAAUCAGCCUUUUGGGUGUGAUUUUGUGGAGCGUGAAGAGUUAAACGCCUUCAUGCCUGCAUAUUCGUGCACUUUGGGUGUACUUGCCCGUGUGUAAGUUAACAUCAAUUUUGGUGGUCAUAAAAUGGCUGGAGGAAUGUAGCUUCGAUCUUGUAUUGAAGUGUUAUAGCCUUCGGUAGAUGUGACGAUCGGGAUUGAGGAUUGCAACGGAUACCCUUCGGGGCUACCUAUCUGAUCUCUGAUCGUUGCUCUGGUGCCGAAAGCUUGCUUACGGUUAUCAAAGUCGAUGGUCAAUAGGUUAGAAUGGGUUAAAUUCGUUAAGGAUGUUGACGUAAUGGCUUUAAACGACACGUCUUGAAACACGGACCGAGGAGUCUAACAUAUAUGCGAGUGUUAGGGUGAUUAAACCCUUACGCGUAAUGAAAGUAAUUUUGGUGGGAUCACUUUUGUGCACCAUCGACC